rnacentral:misc_RNA from 1 species
GAUGAAGAACGCAGCGAAAUGCGAUAAGUAAUGUGAAUUGCAGAAUUCCGUGAAUCAUCGAAUCUUUGAACGCACAUUGCGCCCCCCAGUAUUCUGGCGGGCAUGCCUGUUCGAGCGUCAUUUCAACCAUCAAGCCCUGCUUGUGUUGGGGUCCUGCGGCUGCCCGCAGGCCCUGAAAACCAGUGGCGGGCUCGCUAGUCACACCGAGCGCAGUAGCACAUCUCGCUCAGGGCGUGCGGCGGGCUCCAGCCGUUAAAGCACCCACCUUUCGCAAGGUUGACCUCGGAUCAGGUAGGAAUACCCGCUGAACUUAAGCAUAUCAAUAAGCGGAGGA